rnacentral:rRNA from 1 species
AGAGUUUGAUUCUGGCUCAGAACGAACGCUGGCGGCGUGGAUAAGACAUGCAAGUCGAGCGAGAUUUUUCGUUGUAGCAAUACGAUGGAAAGUCUAGCGGCGAACGGGUGCUUAACACGUGGGCAACCUGCCAUGAAGUGGGGGAUAGCUCGCCGAAAGGCGAAUUAAUACCGCAUGUGAUUAGAGAGGACAUCCUUUCGAAAUUAAAGUCGGGGCAACCUGACGCUUCUUGUGGGGCCCGCGGCCUAUCAGCUAGUUGGUGAGGUAACGGCUCACCAAGGCUUUGACGGGUAGCUGGUCUGAGAGGACGACCAGCCACACUGGGACUGAGACACGGCCCAGACACCUACGGGUGGCAGCAGUCGAGAAUUUUUGACAAUGGGGGAAACCCUGAUCGAGCGACGCCGCGUGGAGGAUGAAGGUCUUCGGAUUGUAAACUCCUGUCAUUCGGGAACAAGGUGCACACGUUAACUGCGUGUGUAUUGAUAGUACCAGAAGAGGAAGAGACGGCUAACUCUGUGCCAGCAGCCGCGGUAAUACAGAGGUCUCAAGCGUUGUUCGGAUUCAUUGGGCGUAAAGGGUGCGUAGGCGGCGCGGUAAGUCGGGUGUGAAAUCUCGGAGCUUAACUCCGAAACUGCAUUCGAUACUGCCGUGCUUGAGGACUGGAGAGGAGACUGGAAUUUACGGUGUAGCGGUGAAAUGCGUAGAUAUCGUAAGGAAGACCAGUGGCGAAGGCGGGUCUCUGGACAGUUCCUGACGCUGAGGCACGAAGGCCAGGGGAGCAAACGGGAUUAGAUACCCCGGUAGUCCUGGCAGUAAACGGUGCACGUUUGGUGUGGGAGGAUUCGACCCCUUCUGCGCCGGAGCUAACGCGUUAAACGUGCCGCCUGGGGAGCACGGUCGCAAGAUUAAAACUCAAAUGAAUUGACGGGG